rnacentral:rRNA from 1 species
GAUGAACGCUAGCUACAGGCUUAACACAUGCAAGUCGAGGGGUGACAAGAGAAAAGCUUGCUUUUCCUGUUGACGACCGGCGCACGGGUGAGUAACGCGUAUCCAACCUGCCUAUAACUAGGGAAUAACCUUGCGAAAGUAAGACUAAUACCCUAUGAUUUCCUUUGAUGACAUCAGAUUAGGAAUAAAGAUUUAUCGGUUAUAGAUGGGGAUGCGUCUGAUUAGCUUGUUGGCGGGGUAACGGCCCACCAAGGCAACGAUCAGUAGGGGUUCGAAGAGGAAGGUCCCCCACAUUGGAACUGGGACACGGUCCAAACUCCUACGGGAGGCAGCAGUGAGGAAUAUUGGUCAAUGGGCGGAAGCCUGAACCAGCCAAGUAGCGUGCAGGAUGACGGCCCUAUGGGUUGUAAACUGCUUUUAUACAGGAAUAAAGUUAGCCACGUGUGGUUAUUUGUAGGUACUGUAUGAAUAAGGACCGGCUAAUUCCGUGCCAGCCGCCGCGGUAA